GAUGAAGAACGUAGCGAAAUGCGAUAAGUAAUGUGAAUUGCAGAAUUCAGUGAAUCAUCGAAUCUUUGAACGCACAUUGCGCCCGCCAGUAUUCUGGCGGGCAUGCCUGUUCGAGCGUCAUUACAACCCUCAGGCCCCCGGGCCUGGCGUUGGGGAUCGGCGAGGCGCCCCCCGCGGGCACGCGCCGUCCCCCAAAUACAGUGGCGGUCCCGCCGCAGCUUCCAUUGCGUAGUAGCUAACACCUCGCUACUGGAGAGCGGCGCGGCCAUGCCGUAAAACACCCAACUUCUGAAUGUUGACCUCGAAUCAGGUAGGAAUACCCGCUGAACUUAAGCAUAUCAAUAAGCGGAGGA
rnacentral:misc_RNA from 1 species